UUCGGAUUGUAGGCUGCAACUCGCCUACAUGAAGUCGGAGUUGCUAGUAAUCGCGGAUCAGAAUGCCGCGGUGAAUGCGUUCCCGGGUCUUGUACACACCGCCCGUCACACCAUGGAAGUUGGGGGCGCCCGAAGUUGGUCGAGGAAUAGAUUACCUAAGGCGAAACCAAUGACUGGGGUGAAGUCGUAACAAGGUAAC
rnacentral:rRNA from 1 species